rnacentral:rRNA from 1 species
GACGAACGCUGGCGGUGUGCUUAACACAUGCAAGUCGAGCGGUAAGGCCCUGUCGGGGGUACACGACCGGCGAACGGGUGAGUAACAGGUGGGCAAUCUGCCCAACACAUCGGGAUAACUGCGGGAAAGCGGAGCUAAUACCGAAUACGCCCCCCACCGGCAUCGGCUGGGGGCGGAAGGUUUUGGCGGUGAUGGCUGAGCUCGCGGCCUAUCAGCUUGUUGGUGGGGUAACGGCCCACCAAGGCUUCGACCGGUAGCCGGCCUGGGAGGGUGACCGGCCACACGGGGACUGAGGCACGGCGCAGACUCCUACGGGAGGCAGCAGUGGGGAAUAUUGGACAGUGGGCGAGAGCCUGAGCCAGCGACGCCGCGUGUGUGAUGACGGCCUUCGGGUUAUAAACCUCUUUCAGCUGGGACGAAGCGCAAGUGACGGUACCUGCAGAAGAAGCACCGGCCAACUACGUG